AUACACAUUGUUCAGGUAUCCUUGAUUCAAAUCGAAUUUCAUCAAACUAAACCAUUCAACACCUACCUGUUACUUUGUCCCGUCUGUCUCUGCUGCCUCAGUUAAUGUGGUGGUAAUUUAAGUUAUAUUUUCCCUGAACUGAAACCAAGCUGUGAGGCACCACACCCAUUCAUAGUUCACUCCUGCUUAGUGCCAGAUACAAACCAUUACUAACACAGGAUAAUAACACGAACAGUACAGCUAUGACUACACCUUCAACAAUCUGGAAGUGCCUUUCAGACAAGGUGCCUAUUCAUGAAGGGAAAACAAAUGUAACGUUACAUCCUGUUAGACUAGUUUGUUGCUUUCCUCGUGCUCGCUAUCUGGUCUUGUGUUUGUUUGAGAACUCUGUAGUGACAUGGUAUAUUCAUAUCAUUCUGGAGCAUUAGAGGGGCGUGUCCUUACAGGUGUUUAUCUGAUGUUGUCUCGACAACUGGCACAGGUAAUACAGCGUUUAGAUUCUUAGAGGUAAGAGACCCAGAAGGGAGGGAGGUUGACCUCACAUACUUACUACGGCACCAGUCUAGAAUGUGUGUAGCCUACAAGUGUUGGUUCACCUGAUAGAGAGAAGGACUGGAGCACACAGCAAUAGGAAUAUUAGUGUGGUGUGAUAACAUUACUUGUUGUGAGAGUCUCCUUAUCCCCGGCUGAGCUGAGAUGGAUGUGUGUCAGACCAGUCCCACCGGUUAGAACCCAGAGGAGUAUCAGCAAAGGAUCAUGGGAGAAAGAGUCCAGAGCCAACUGCUGACUUCCUACAAAGACGAGCUGGUCAGAGCUGCACAGAGUACUCCUGUGUUUCAGAGACCUACAGUGGUGCGGUCCAAUGAGGUAAAGGAGAGGGAGCGCUACAGAUACCAGUGGAGGAAGGAGGACAGGCAGAGAAUCGUCAGUGACAGAUUGGAGCUCAUCGUUGCCAUAGUGACGGGGUUGUUGAUGGGGGUUCUGACAGGUGGUUUUGGGGGUAUUGUCAUGGGAGGGUUGACAGGGGCGGUGAUAUGGUUUACAACAGGACUGGUCAGGAACUGGUGGAGCCCCUGACUUACUGGGAGGCACCAUGUGUAGGUUAUGGAUCUACUUUUAUGAAGACAUUUGGAGGAUAAAACUAUUUUAAUGUGUAUAGAUGGAAGGGCUUUGGUGAUGGAUGAUGUUUCUUUGAUGCAAUUAUAAAACUUUAAUUAUUAAUAAUUUGGAAGUGAAUAAAAGCCCAAUAUAGAGAGAAAAGAAACAGAGAAUAUAGUGAUUAUUUUUAAAGAGAGAUAAAACCCUCAUAUUCAUCACCAGUGCUAACCUACUUCUGUUAAGACAGUCCUGAUAUGGGUCUGAACCUGUUAGUCAUGAAGGGAUUAAAAGUGAGAUUCAUCCAGAAAUAUCUUUCCCUGAUUUCAUCUGACCAAGUAUUCAGAUAUUGUGUGACAGUAGUUAUGGCCAGGCCAAUGAAAGACCUUCAUCCUACCCUGUAAAAUCCUUCAGAAUAUCAGCAACAAGAACUAAUGACUAGAUCACCAAAUAUACAUGAUCAAUUAAUAGUUUACGUAAACAAACAUAGUGAUCUUACUAGAACCCCGAUCCAGUGACUGUCAACCCAACACAGUUUGGCCAAGAUCACAGCCCGUAUCCAGAAAGUACCUCAGAGUAGGAGUACUGAUCUAGGAUCUGUCCAUAUAAUCAUUAUGAUCUAAAAGUCAAAAACUGGUGCUAGAUCAGCACUCCUACGGGCCCUGGUCACUACUAAUCUCAACAAUGUUGUUAUUGUUGUCGGCUCAAUCUGUCAUGGAAUCAGUAAACCCUGCUCUCUUAUCUGUCAUGGAAUCAUUAAACCCUGCUCUCUUAUCUGUCAUGGAAUCAGUAAACCCUGCUCUCUUA